AACGAACGCUGGCGGCGGGCUUAACACAUGCAAGUCGAGCGCACCGCCCGGGGAGCGGCAGACGGGUGAGUAACGCAUGGGAACGUUAACAUUGGUGUGGCACAACUUCGGGAUACUGGUGCUUUCACCGGAUAAGCCCUAACGGCGAAAGAUUUUUCGCCGAACGAUCGGGCCGCGUCUGAUUUGCUGGUUGGUGAGGUAAAGGCUCACCAUGGCGACGUUUAGUAGCUGGUCUGAGAGGAUGAUCCGCCACACUGGAGCUGAGACACGGCCCAGACUCCUACGGAACGGAGGAGUGGGGAAUAUAGUACGAUGGGGGCUAGCCUGAUCCAGCCAGGCCGGGGAAGUGAUGAUGGCGUUAGGGAUGUGAAUCUCUUUUGUCCGAAGAGAGAAUGACGGUACCGGAUGAAUAAGCCCCGGCUAACUUCGUG
rnacentral:rRNA from 1 species